rnacentral:tRNA from 1 species
GUCUGGGUGGCUCAGUCGGUUGAGCAUCUGACUUCGGCUCAGGUCAUGAUCUCACGGUCCGUGAGUUCGAGCUCACGUCGGGCU